rnacentral:rRNA from 2 species
CCCCAUGCCGAACUCAGAAGUGAAACGCCGUAGCGCCGAUGGUAGUGUGGGGUCUCCCCAUGUGAGAGUAGGGAACUGCCAGGC